UUGCCAAACAUAUUAACCAUGUCGUCACCAAGCUAACGCUUAUUUUAAGCUUUGCAGAUAAAGUUAUGGUUUGUUAAGCUUUUAUUUGUUGAGAUUUUUUUAGAAAAUGUAAUGUUUUUGAAGUGUAAAAACGACCCCUGCCUUCUAAACUGCACGUCAAUUUGAUUCUAAUCGCCCCCAGUUUUAGGCCCUGUCUGACAUCUUCCGGCCGGUGGAAUUGAACUCCCACUACGUAGACAUGAGCGGAGCUUGCUGCGUCCUGCUGCUGCGGACUCUCUUACCUCCUCCCACCGGAGACACUGGCGGUGGCCACACCCCUCCGACUUUCAGAUGCCACGUGGCCCUGCGAUGAGAUGGUGACUGAUGCCUACUCAGACUUCUUCUGUCCAGGUCCCUGCGGCGUUCCCAAGCCAGCCGGGAGAUAGUCUUCCCAAUGUGUCCUGGGUCUUCCCUAUGUGUCCUGGGUCUUCCUCGUGGCCUCCUACUGGUCGGAGGUGCCGUAACCACCGUAGGGAGGCGUUCGGGUGGCAUCCUGACCAGAGGCCCGAACCACCUCAUCUGGCUCCUCUCCAUGUGGAGGAGAAACGGCUUUACUUUGAGUUGACAGAGCUUCUCAUCCUAUCUCUAAGGGAGAGCCCCGCCAACGCCGGAGGAAACUCAUUUCGGUCGCCUGUACCCGUGAACUUGUCCUUUCGGUCAUAACCUAAAGCUCACGACCACAGAUCGAUACAGCGUCCGCCUUACUGAAGACGCCGCAACGAUCCUCCUGUCGAUAUCACGAGCCGCUCUUCCCUCACUCCUGAACUAGACUCUGAGGUACUUGAAGUCCUCUACAUAGGGCAAGAUCUACUACAAUUUAUUUUCUUGAUGUCUUUUAGUAUUUCUUACAGCCCAAAUGUGAUUAGUUUUGUGUCAUGUCUGUUAUAUAUAUAUAUUUUUUAAACAAUAUUGGACAAUUGAAUGAACAACCUGCAAGACUUAUUUGCCAAGCUUUGUAGGACUCGUUCAGGACUCUCCUUCAGAGCCAAUGAAAAAAAAACUAUAACCCAUCGAUUAGUUCAAGUGACAAAAACACUCAUCGUUCACUCGCAAGGAAAAAAGCUAACAAGUAGUGAAUUGAAUUUCAUAUAGCGCUUUUUCUCUAGU